AUGUCCCAGAAGGUGUGGAAGGGCAACGAGGGGAGGGGAGAGUGCCCCCGCGGGCGCGCUCGCAGGAGGGCUGCGGGGAGGAGGCACGGGGGUGCUCCCGGCACCCGCCCGGCCGCCGCAGAGCACCCCAGGGGCGGCCCCGCCGCAGAGCACCCCAGGGGCGGCCCCGCCGCAGAGCACCGCAGGGGGCGGCCGGGACCCGGGGAGCCGCCCCCCGCCCGGGUGCCGCUAAGCCGGGCGCUGCCUCCUCAGCGGGCACCGCGCCGCCCUGCGCCGAGCCGCCAUUGGCUCGCUCGAAAUGCCUCUCUAAUCCGCGCGGCGCUGCACGCCCCCGCUCUGACCUUCCUCCUCCCCGCAGCCCGCGCUCCGGGGAGACGCGGCGGCGGCGCAGCUUCCUCUUCCCCCGGGCAGUCGUCCGGGCUUGAGGCCGCCGCGGACGCGCAGCUCCGCCCUGCGGCGCGCGGAGGGUGCCAGGCGCUGCUGCCCGCAGGUAGGGGUCGGGCCCCGGGGGCGGGGGCGGGGGCGGGGGCGGGGGCGGGGGCGUCACCCGGGCGGUGCCGGGAGGCCCCUGCGCCGGGCCCCGCGGGCAGGCAGCUGGCGGCGGAGGCCUUACCCGGGAAGCGCCGGGCAGCGGGGCCUUGGGAGCGGGCACCCGGGCCCGGGGAUCCCGAGGCUCCGGCCGGGCCGGGCUGCUCCCGCGGGGUGGGCUCGUGCCCGCUGGGUGCGGCGGCUGUUCAUGGACCAGAGUGGGCUGAGAGAAGCGCAGCAGCCGAGGCGCCCUGUGCUCCGUGCGUCCGCCCCUUCCCGCGUAGCUGGCGGGGGAGGGGAUGCUACACAGCCUGCAAAGACGCCGAAGCCGAAGCCGGGGUCUUCCCGGCGCUCUUCCCGACGCUCUUCCCCAUCCCCCAGGCCACUUGCUGCCCGUCGGAACUACCUCUCCGUCUUCUUUUUGCCUUAGGAGGGCGUGAAUGUAUUAAAAGGUCAUCAGGGUGUGAGGGCCGCAGUGGCAGACCCCGGAGCUUGGCCAGACCCGGCCUCAAGCCCCACCCACCCCCGCCCCCCCCACAGCCCAGCUCUGCACCCCACGUGCAGUGA
rnacentral:lncRNA from 1 species